AUGCAAGUCGAGGGGCAGCAUGGUCGUUGCUUGCAAUGACCGAUGGCGACCGGCGCACGGGUGAGUAACGCGUAUCCAACCUUCCCCCUACCCGGGUAUAGCCCGCCGAAAGGCGGAUUAAUCCCCGAUACGUCCCCUGACGGCAUCAGGCGGGGACGAAAGGUUUUCCGGUAAGGGAUGGGGAUGCGUCCGAUUAGCUUGUUGGCGGGGUAACGGCCCACCAAGGCAACGAUCGGUAGGGGUUCUGAGAGGAAGGUCCCCCACAUUGGAACUGAGACACGGUCCAAACUCCUACGGGAGGCAGCAGUGAGGAAUAUUGGUCAAUGGGCGGAAGCCUGAACCAGCCAAGUAGCGUGCAGGAUGACGGCCCUACGGGUUGUAAACUGCUUUUUUGCGGGAAUAAAGCGGCUCACGCGUGGGCCUUUGCAUGUACCGCACGAAUAAGGACCGGCUAAUUCCGUGCCAGCAGCCGCGGUAAUACGGAAGGUCCGGGCGUUAUCCGGAUUUAUUGGGUUUAAAGGGAGCGUAGGCCGCCUUUUAAGCGUGCUGUGAAAUACCGUUGCCCAACAACGGGGCUGCAGCGCGAACUGGAGGGCUUGAGUUCACGGGAAGCCGGCGGAAUUCGUCGUGUAGCGGUGAAAUGCUUAGAUGUGACGAAGAACUCCGAUUGCGAAGGCAGCCGGCUGUAGUGUUACUGACGCUGAAGCUCGAAAGUGCGGGUAUCGAACAGGAUUAGAUACCCUGGUAGUCCGCACGGUAAACGAUGGACGCCCGCUGUGCGCCCUUUAGGGUGCGCGGCCUAGCGAAAGCGUUAAGCGUCCCACCUGGGGAGUACGCCGGCAACGGUGAAACUCAAAGGAAUUGACGGGGGCCCGCACAAGCGGAGGAACAUGUGGUUUAAUUCGAUGAUACGCGAGGAACCUUACCCGGGCUUGAACUGCAGAGGAAAGAUCCAGAGAUGGUGAUGCCCUUCGGGGCCUCUGCGGAGGUGCUGCAUGGUUGUCGUCAGCUCGUGCCGUGAGGUGUCGGCUUAAGUGCCAUAACGAGCGCAACCCCUUUCCCCAGUUGCCAUCGGGUGAUGCCGGGCACUC
rnacentral:rRNA from 1 species